rnacentral:rRNA from 1 species
CCCUUAGAUGUUCUGGGCCGCACGCGCGCUACACUGAUGCAUUCAACGAGUCUAAAACCUGCUCUGAUAGGGGUGGGUAAUCUUUUGAAUGUGCAUCGUGAUUGGGAUAGAUGAUUGAAAUUUUUCAUCUUCAACGAGGAAUGCCUAGUAAACGCAAGUCAUCAGCUUGCAUUGAUUACGUCCCUGCCCUUUGUACACACCGCCCGUCGCUCCUACCGAUUGAAUGAUCCGAUGAAUACCAUGGAUUGAGAGUACGAAUAGGUUCGCUUAUUUCUGCUGCUCGAGAAGUGGAGUAAAUCUUAUCAUUUAGAGGAAGGAGAAGUCGUAACA